rnacentral:lncRNA from 1 species
UAAAAUCUGUUGUAGUAGAUAUUUGUAGCUUUUUGUCUACCCACCCUAUCCCCUGAUUCAGGCUGGUCAAUAGGAAGUUCCCAUGAUUCAAGAAAUACCAUGUGCCCCACGAUGCUGAGACAGUCUAUCUGUAGAAUUAACUGCUUCUUGUCAGGUAUAAGUUAAGUGCUGUGAUGAAGAGGCUCCAAAAUGUUGUUAGGGAAAUAAAGCAGAAGUUUAGUACACACUAGUAACCAUCCAAAAGUGAGCAUUUCUGGGCUGGUAAAGUGGGUCUGCUAUACAAAGUUAUCCAGGGACACAGAGAUGAUUACUUAUUAAUCCCAUGAUAACCCAUUAACUCAUUAAUCCACAAGGACAGUGCCCUCAUUACCCAAUAACUUCUUAAAGACUCCAUCUCUUAAUACUGCCACAUCGAGGGUUAAAUUUCAACAUCAGUUUUGGAGGGGACAAAUAUUAACACCGUAACAAAAAUAUUGGCACCAGAAGGCAAAAUUAAGGCAUUUAAAUGAGAGAGAAUAAACACGCAGAGCAGGUAACUUAGCAUAGUUAGCUAAAGUCAUAGAGGUAAAACUACAGUUAGCAGGUGAGUAAGCAGUCAAUGUUAAGGAGUUACAGCUGAUUCAGAUGCUAAGCAGAACCAGGGUAAGUUAGUAUGAUGUGAUCAUCACACUAUGGGGACAAACAGACCUGCAAAUCCAACUCUUCCAGAACAAUGACUAGAUGGUCGAUGUUAAUGUUUUCCCCAGGGACUCUCUUUUUUCUGUUUCCAAGAUUAAGUACAUCAAAACAGGAAGAAAUGUUUGAAAACAAACCUUUUAUUGGAGAAGAAGAAUCUCAAGACCUCUGACUAUUAGCAGAAGACAAUGCCAUGGGGUGGCAUGAAGCAAAGUGGCUAAGCUGCAAAUAAAAGCCAACUCCUUGCUAUGGAGCAUUACACAAGUGUCAACAGGGAUUAAGUGAGAGCAAAGGUUCUCAGUGCCAGAGGCUGGAAACAUGAGUAAGCUUACACAGUUAAAGGAAAAGGAGUCCUGGAAUUCUACCCACCAUAGCUAUGGUAGGUGACAACAGAUGUUUCUAAUCUUCAAGUGGUUAGAUUUUCUUCAUUAAAACAAUAAAAA